rnacentral:lncRNA from 1 species
ACAACUAAUAAAUUCACUUCAAUCAAAGUAACAUAUAGGCCUCAUCCAAAAUUUUAAACUUCGUUUGAUAAACAUACAUACCGAAUACUUAUGUUUAGAUACAUAUACAUAUGAAUCAACCAUAUAAGGAUGUUGUGCCACAAAAGGAAAAUAACUUAUGUUUCUAAAUGUGCCACAACCAAAAUGAUCAUACAGUGGCUUAUGUGCCAAAACAAUCACCUAAAUGAGUACAGUAAUACUUGCCACCAUCUCCAGGUUCAACAAACAAGUCAUAUUACAUUAUAACAACAGCAACUUAAUUGUAGGUCUUCCAAACCUCCAGCUCCAACUUGUAGAUCUUCCAAACCUCGAUCAACUUGUGUAUCUUUGGGAAAUCUGCAACAAGUCGGAAACUCAAGCUACAUAGGCAUUAAUAAUUUCCACGAGAUAAUGAACAUUUCGAGACCUUAUCAUCUCAUUAUAUCUUCUAACACUCUGUUCUUCUUCUUCCAUCACCCACACUGCCGUUGCAUCUUCUAAUCUAUUGUCCAUGUCACUUUCUCCUGCCUUUUGUCAUUCUUUUUUCCGAAGAUAUGCACCCUCACACAAAAGCCUGAUUAAGAAAAUUGCACAAGAAUACCACUCAUACUUAUCUUAACAAAGAUAAACAGAAGUAUGGAAAGCACACAAAAAUAUGAGACGAUGGCUGCAGGUCAGAUAUAAUUCAGACUUGCUGUUGACAUCACUCCAAGAAAUAUUUGAACAAGCUAAAUGGCGUAAAUGCAUUAACAAAUUCUGUCUCUUCCUUUUACUGAUAAUUUUAAUAAAAAACUAAAUAUUUGCACUCAGUUCAAUUGCAUGACAUCCCACUCCAUUUUCUCAAUAACUGCAUUGUUUAUAUAGCAACCGAAGGUGUGGCAGUGGCAGUCUCAUUCAAUAUAAAAUGUAGUGUCGCUUUCCAAGCAAGUUGUUUUACUAGCAUGUUUUCAGACUUCAGUGUGUAUAUAUAUCUUAUAUCAAGAUUAUUACGAUUAGUUAUCAAUACACAAAUGUUGACACUUCAGUACAUUCAGGAUGAAUAGAAAAUAAGGUCAACCAAUUUUUACACACGAGAUCCUUCCCUUUUGAAAAAGCCCCCAGUUAAGAAGAGAAAGUAUAUGUACUAGGAAAAAAAUACGUAAAGAGCGGCUACCACACAUGUAUAC